AUUGAACGCUGGCGGCAGGCUUAACACAUGCAAGUCGAGCGGGGUGAUGGUGCUUGCACUAUCACUUAGCGGCGGACGGGUGAGUAAUGCUUAGGAAUCUGCCUAUUAGUGGGGGACAACAUUUCGAAAGGAAUGCUAAUACCGCAUACGUCCUACGGGAGAAAGCAGGGGAUCUUCGGACCUGGCGCUAAUAGAUGAGCCUAAGUCGGAUUAGCUAGUUGGUGGGGUAAAGGCCUACCAAGGCGACGAUCUGUAGCGGGUCUGGGAGGAUGAUCCGCCACACUGGGACUGAGACACGGCCCAGAGUCCUACGGGAGGCAGCAGUGGGGAAUAUUGGGCAAUGGGCGGAAGCCGGAUCCAGCCAUGCCGCGUGUGUGAAGAAGGCCUUGUGGUUGUAAAGCACUUUAAGCGAGGAGGAGGCUACUUUAGUUAAUACCUAGAGAUAGUGGACGUUACUCGCAGAAUAAGCACCGGCUAACUCUGUGCCAGCCGCCGCGGUAACAC
rnacentral:rRNA from 1 species